rnacentral:rRNA from 1 species
UAACACGUGGGGAACCUGCCCCAUAGUCUGGGAUACCACUUGGAAACAGGUGCUAAUACCGGAUAAGAAAGCGGAUCGCAUGAUCAGCUUUUAAAAGGCGGCGUAAGCUGUCGCUAUGGGAUGGCCCCGCGGUGCAUUAGCUAGUUGGUAAGGUAAAGGCUUACCAAGGCGAUGAUGCAUAGCCGAGUUGAGAGACUGAUCGGCCACAUUGGGACUGAGACACGGCCCAAACUCCUACGGGAGGCAGCAGUA